rnacentral:misc_RNA from 1 species
AACGAACGUCGGGAAUGCGGUUGCUGGACAAACUGUAAAAUUGCCGGUGCCAACACGGGCUCAUAGCUCAACUGGUAGAGCGCCGCCUUUGCUUGGGCGGAGGCCGGGGGUUCGAAUCCUCCUGAGUCCAUUUUCGAUGCACCUGGAGAUGCGAGUCACCAGGGAAGGGUUGAAGGUCACUGACCUGAAGAUGCCGUGUAAAGGUUUGCACUCAGGACGUUACAUGGGUUUGACGGAGCACUAG